AGGUGGCAUUGAAGGCCCUAAAAGGGGCAAGCAAGUGUUCUACGGUACGUGGAGUCUGGCGCUCAGUGCCCCCUAGAGGGCAACCACGUGCUGGUGCGAGCUACCUGGCGUUGAGGGCCCUAGAAAAGGGCAAUCAAGCGUGGUGCGUGAGCACUUAUGCCCAGGGUCCUGUUGGGGCAAAUCGGCAAGUGUAUCGAGUCGCACAAGCAAUAUAAAAUGGUAAGACCAUGUAUCGUAUCCCAGAGGACUCUCAGCGCUGAACAGUUGUGUGAAAACAAGAUUAAUUAAGACUUAAAAGAAAAGAGAUCAUAGGUUUGUAUUGCAAAAUAAUAAAAUAAAGCAAAGUAAAAUUGAUCAAUGGCAAAAGAGCACAAAGAUGAAUGGAGGUUGAUUUAUAUGAGAUGAGUAUGUUGUUGGGGUUAGACUUCACCACGUUCCCUCUCAUGUAUAUAAGAAUUCUUCUUUAUUCAUUAAUG
rnacentral:lncRNA from 1 species